UACAGAGGGGGCGAGCGUUGUUCGGAAUUACUGGGCGUAAAGGGUGCGUAGGCGGCCCGCUAAGUCGAACGUGAAAUCCCCAGGCUCAACCUGGGAACUGCGUCCGAUACUGGCAGGCUUGAAUCCGGGAGAGGGAUGUGGAAUUCCAGGUGUAGCGGUGAAAUGCGUAGAUAUCUGGAGGAACACCGGUGGCGAAGGCGGCAUCCUGGACCAACACUGACACUGAGGAGCGAAAGCCAGGGGAGCAAACGGG
rnacentral:rRNA from 1 species